AAGUCGUAACAAGGUUUCCGUAGGUGAACCUGCGGAAGGAUCAUUACAUUUAGUAGCCUAGCUGCUAUCAGUGGGGUUCGUUAGCCUGCAUAGCUUUAAUCGUCGUGCAUGAUGACGCAAGCCAAGGAACCCCCCCUUGUUUUUGGUUAACCCUUGUUUUUUGCGUACCAAGUUUCCUCGGCGGGCUUGCUCGCCGGAUGGACAAUACUAUAACCUUUUUAAUAUUCAAUCAGCGUCUGAAAACCUGAAUAAUUACAA
rnacentral:misc_RNA from 1 species